CACCCACAUGGGCACAGAGCCUGUGUCUACUACAGCCUUUCAGUCCUGUCCUCCCUACUCAGCCUCUGAGAAGGUUUUCCACUUCACAAUGGCCAUCACAUGGAUCUGCUUCUCAUUGGUUACCAUGAUGAAGGCAACUUACGGAAGGAAGCGUUUAUUAGGAGUUACAUUCCAGGAAGAUGAGAGCCCAUCACAGACUGGGUGGCAGGACCAGGAAGCCCAGAGCUCACAUCCUCAACCACGAGCACAAACCAGAGAGAGAAAAAAACUGGAAGUGGUGAGAGGCUUUUAAUCUCAAAGCCCAUCCCCAGUGAUGCACUUCCUCCAGCAAGGCUGAACCACCAAGACCUUCCUGAGCAGUGCCACCAACGGGGACCCGAGUGCUGAGGUAUAAGACGAUCUGCCCACAUAAAUAUGAACAUAAAUAUGGGUUUUUCAGGCUCAAACGAGAAGCAGGUGCCUUUCUCACGCAGAGCAGGGAAAGUGGCUCCAAGGUCUGUCCACCAGAAAAGCUACAAGAAGGAUCUAGCCUAGGCACAUGAAGACCUGAGACCCAUCCUAAGUCCACAGGGUAGCCUCCAUUUUCUCACCAAUAAAAUGGGCCCGUUGUCACCAGGA